rnacentral:ncRNA from 1 species
AAAAAUCUAUUUAUAUUUAUAUUUAUAUAAAUAAAUUUUUUAUGGUUUAAAAAUUUUAUUAAAAAUUUAUUUUACAUAUAAAUUUUAGUGUUAAUUUUAAUUUAUUUUAAUAAUAAAUUUUAUUAAUGAGUAGUAAUUAAUAUUAAAUAAUUUAAGAAAUUAAGAUUUAAUGAUAUUUAAAUUAAUAACAAAUUUUGUGCCAGCAGUUGCGGUUAUACAAAAAUUAAAUUAAAUUUUAUUAGUGAUUAAUAAAUAAUUAAUUAAAAAUUAAUAUAAUAAAAAUUUUAAAUUAUUAAGUGAAAUUUUAAUUUAAUAAAAAUUUAUAUGUAAAUUUAUGAUUUAAUAAAUUUUAUAAAAAACUAGGAUUAGAUACCCUAUUAUUAAAAUUUAAAUUUAAAAUACUAAAAAAGUAUAUAAUUAUUUAUGGAAACUUAAAUAAUUUGGCGGUAUUUUAGUUCAUUUAGAGGAAUCUGUUUAAUAAUUGAUAUUCCACGAGUAAAUUUACUUAAUUUAUAAUUUUGUAUAUCGUUGUUAAAAAAAUAUUUUUUAAUAAAAUUAAUAUUUGAAUAUUGAAAUAUAAAAUUAAAUCAGAUCAAGAUGCAGAUUAUAAUUAAGAAUAUAAUGGAUUACAAUAAAUAUAUUUAGAUGAAUAUUAAUUUGUAAUUAUUAAUUGAAGGUGGAUUUAAAUGUAAUUUUAUUUAAUUUAUUAAAGUGAUUAAAAAUUGAAAUAUGUACAUAUUGCCCGUCGCUUUCAUAUAAUUAAAAUUGGAAUAAGUCGUAACAAAGUAGAGGUACUGGAAAGUGUUUCUAGAAAGAA